UGGGGAAUUGUUCACAAUGGGCGCAAGCCUGAUGACGCAACGCCGCGUGGAGGAUGAAGACCUUCGGGUCGUAAACUCCUUUCGACCGAGAUGAAGACCCUCCGGAUGAAUACUCCGGAGGAUUGACAGUAUCGAGGGAAGCAGCCCCGGCUAACUCUGUGCCAGCAGCCGCGGUAAUACAGGGGGGGCAAGCGUUGUUCGGAAUUACUGGGCGUAAAGGGUUCGUAGGUGGCUUGCUUAGUCAGACGUGAAAUCCCUCAGCUCAACUGGGGAACUGCGUCUGAUACUGGCGAGCUUGAGUGCAGGAGAGGAAUGCGGAAUUCCAGGUGUAGCGGUGAAAUGCGUAGAUAUCUGGAGGAACACCGGUGGCGAAGGCGGCAUUCUGGACUGCAACUGACACUGAGGAACGAAAGCCAGGGGAGCAAACGGGAUUAGAUACCCGUGUAGUCC
rnacentral:rRNA from 1 species